AUUGAACGCUGGCGGCAGGCCUAACACAUGCAAGUCGAACGAGUGGCGGACGGGUGAGUAAUGUCUGGGAAACUGCCUGAUGGAGGGGGAUAACUACUGGAAACGGUAGCUAAUCCCGCAUACCAUCGGAUGUGCCCAGAUGGGAUUAGCGAGUAGGUGGGGUAAAGGCUCACCUAGGCGACGAUCCCUCGCUGGUAUGAGAGGAUGACCAGCGACACGGGAACUGGGACAGGGUCCAGACUCCUACGGGAGGCAGCAGUGGGGAAUAUUGGACAAUGGGCGAAAGCCUGAUGCAGCCAUGCCGCGUGUAUGAAGAAGGCCUUCGGGUUGUAAAGUACUUUCAGCGGGGAGGCGUUACCCGCAGAAGAAGCACCGGCUAACUCCGUGCCAGCAGCCGCGGUAAUAC
rnacentral:rRNA from 1 species